AUUGAACGCUGGCGGCGUGCCUAACACAUGCAAGUCGAGCGGUAACAGGCGUAGCAAUACGUGCUGACGAGCGGCGAACGGGUGCGUAACACAUGGGAAUCUGCCCUCAGGUGGGGAAUAACCCGGCGAAAGCCGGGCUAAUGCCGCAUAAGAUCUUCGGAUGAAAGCGGGGGACCGUAAGGCCUCGCGCCGUUGGAUGAGCCCAUGUCGGAUUAGCUAGUUGGUGGGGUAACGGCCCACCAAGGCGACGAUCCGUAGCUGGUCUGAGAGGACGGCCAGCCACACUGGGACUGAGACACGGCCCAGACUCCUACGGGAGGCAGCAGUGGGGAAUAUUGGACAAUGGGCGAAAGCCUGAUCCAGCGACGCCGCGUGUGUGAAGAAGGCCUGCGGGUUGUAAAGCACUUUCGAUGGGAACGAAAUGUGCCGGGCGUAAUACCCCGGCAAGCUGACGUUACUCAAUGAAGAAGCACCGGCUAACUCUGUGCCAGCA
rnacentral:rRNA from 1 species